UAACACAUGCAAGUCGAGCGGAUGACGGGAGCUUGCUCCUUGAUUCAGCGGCGGACGGGUGAGUAAUGCCUAGGAAUCUGCCUGGUAGUGGGGGACAACGUUUCGAAAGGAACGCUAAUACCGCAUACGUCCUACGGGAGAAAGCAGGGGACCUUCGGGCCUUGCGCUAUCAGAUGAGCCUAGGUCGGAUUAGCUAGUUGGUGGGGUAAUGGCUCACCAAGGCGACGAUCCGUAACUGGUCUGAGAGGAUGAUCAGUCACACUGGAACUGAGACACGGUCCAGACUCCUACGGGAGGCAGCAGUGGGGAAUAUUGGACAAUGGGCGAAAGCCUGAUCCAGCCAUGCCGCGUGUGUGAAGAAGGUCUUCGGAUUGUAAAGCACUUUAAGUUGGGAGGAAGGGCAGUAAGYUAAUACCUUGCUGUUUUGACGUUACCGACAGAAUAAGCACCGGCUAACUCUGUGCCAGCAGCCGCGGUAAUACAGAGGGUGCAAGCGUUAAUCGGAAUUACUGGGCGUAAAGCGCGCGUAGGUGGUUUGUUAAGUUGGAUGUGAAAGCCCCGGGCUCAACCUGGGAACUGCAUCCAAAACUGGCAAGCUAGAGUACGGUAGAGGGUGGUGGAAUUUCCUGUGUAGCGGUGAAAUGCGUAGAUAUAGGAAGGAACACCAGUGGCGAAGGCG
rnacentral:rRNA from 1 species